rnacentral:rRNA from 1 species
AGCGUACACGGUGGAUGCCCUGGCAGUCAGAGGCGAUGAAGGACGUGCUAAUCUGCGAUAAGCGUCGGUAAGGUGAUAUGAACCGUUAUAACCGGCGAUUUCCGAAUGGGGAAACCCAGUGUGUUUCGACACACUAUCAUUAACUGAAUCCAUAGGUUAAUGAGGCGAACCGGGGGAACUGAAACAUCUAAGUACCCCGAGGAAAAGAAAUCAACCGAGAUUCCCCCAGUAGCGGCGAGCGAACGGGGAGCAGCCCAGAGCCUGAAUCAGUGUGUGUGUUAGUGGAAGCGUCUGGAAAGGCGCGCGAUACAGGGUGACAGCCCCGUACACAAAAAUGCACAUACUGUGAGCUCGAUGAGUAGGGCGGGACACGUGGUAUCCUGUCUGAAUAUGGGGGGACCAUCCUCCAAGGCUAAAUACUCCUGACUGACCGAUAGUGAACCAGUACCGUGAGGGAAAGGCGAAAAGAACCCCGGCGAGGGGAGUGAAAAAGAACCUGAAACCGUGUACGUACAAGCAGUGGGAGCACAGAGCAAUCUGUGUGACUGCGUACCUUUUGUAUAAUGGGUCAGCGACUUAUAUUCUGUAGCAAGGUUAACCGAAUAGGGGAGCCGAAGGGAAACCGAGUCUUAACUGGGCGUUAAGUUGCAGGGUAUAGACCCGAAACCCGGUGAUCUAGCCAUGGGCAGGUUGAAGGUUGGGUAACACUAACUGGAGGACCGAACCGACUAAUGUUGAAAAAUUAGCGGAUGACUUGUGGCUGGGGGUGAAAGGCCAAUCAAACCGGGAGAUAGCUGGUUCUCCCCGAAAGCUAUUUAGGUAGCGCCUCGUGAAUUCAUCUCCGGGGGUAGAGCACUGUUUCGGCAAGGGGGUCAUCCCGACUUACCAACCCGAUGCAAACUGCGAAUACCGGAGAAUGUUAUCACGGGAGACACACGGCGGGUGCUAACGUCCGUCGUGAAGAGGGAAACAACCCAGACCGCCAGCUAAGGUCCCAAAGUCAUGGUUAAGUGGGAAACGAUGUGGGAAGGCCCAGACAGCCAGGAUGUUGGCUUAGAAGCAGCCAUCAUUUAAAGAAAGCGUAAUAGCUCACUGGUCGAGUCGGCCUGCGCGGAAGAUGUAACGGGGCUAAACCAUGCACCGAAGCUGCGGCAGCGACGCUGAUGCGUUGUUGGGUAGGGGAGCGUUCUGUAAGCCUGUGAAGGUGUGCUGUGAGGCAUGCUGGAGGUAUCAGAAGUGCGAAUGCUGACAUAAGUAACGAUAAAGCGGGUGAAAAGCCCGCUCGCCGGAAGACCAAGGGUUCCUGUCCAACGUUAAUCGGGGCAGGGUGAGUCGACCCCUAAGGCGAGGCCGAAAGGCGUAGUCGAUGGGAAACAGGUUAAUAUUCCUGUACUUGGUGUUACUGCGAAGGGGGGACGGAGAAGGCUAUGUUGGCCGGGCGACGGUUGUCCCGGUUUAAGCGUGUAGGCUGGUUUUCCAGGCAAAUCCGGAAAAUCAAGGCUGAGGCGUGAUGACGAGGCACUACGGUGCUGAAGCAACAAAUGCCCUGCUUCCAGGAAAAGCCUCUAAGCAUCAGGUAACAUCAAAUCGUACCCCAAACCGACACAGGUGGUCAGGUAGAGAAUACCAAGGCGCUUGAGAGAACUCGGGUGAAGGAACUAGGCAAAAUGGUGCCGUAACUUCGGGAGAAGGCACGCUGAUAUGUAGGUGAAGCGACUUGCUCGUGGAGCUGAAAUCAGUCGAAGAUACCAGCUGGCUGCAACUGUUUAUUAAAAACACAGCACUGUGCAAACACGAAAGUGGACGUAUACGGUGUGACGCCUGCCCGGUGCCGGAAGGUUAAUUGAUGGGGUCAGCGCAAGCGAAGCUCUUGAUCGAAGCCCCGGUAAACGGCGGCCGUAACUAUAACGGUCCUAAGGUAGCGAAAUUCCUUGUCGGGUAAGUUCCGACCUGCACGAAUGGCGUAAUGAUGGCCAGGCUGUCUCCACCCGAGACUCAGUGAAAUUGAACUCGCUGUGAAGAUGCAGUGUACCCGCGGCAAGACGGAAAGACCCCGUGAACCUUUACUAUAGCUUGACACUGAACAUUGAGCCUUGAUGUGUAGGAUAGGUGGGAGGCUUAGAAGUGUGGACGCCAGUCUGCAUGGAGCCGACCUUGAAAUACCACCCUUUAAUGUUUGAUGUUCUAACGUUGACCCGUAAUCCGGGUUGCGGACAGUGUCUGGUGGGUAGUUUGACUGGGGCGGUCUCCUCCUAAAGAGUAACGGAGGAGCACGAAGGUUGGCUAAUCCUGGUCGGACAUCAGGAGGUUAGUGCAAUGGCAUAAGCCAGCUUGACUGCGAGCGUGACGGCGCGAGCAGGUGCGAAAGCAGGUCAUAGUGAUCCGGUGGUUCUGAAUGGAAGGGCCAUCGCUCAACGGAUAAAAGGUACUCCGGGGAUAACAGGCUGAUACCGCCCAAGAGUUCAUAUCGACGGCGGUGUUUGGCACCUCGAUGUCGGCUCAUCACAUCCUGGGGCUGAAGUAGGUCCCAAGGGUAUGGCUGUUCGCCAUUUAAAGUGGUACGCGAGCUGGGUUUAGAACGUCGUGAGACAGUUCGGUCCCUAUCUGCCGUGGGCGCUGGAGAACUGAGGGGGGCUGCUCCUAGUACGAGAGGACCGGAGUGGACGCAUCACUGGUGUUCGGGUUGUCAUGCCAAUGGCACUGCCCGGUAGCUAAAUGCGGAAGAGAUAAGUGCUGAAAGCAUCUAAGCACGAAACUUGCCCCGAGAUGAGUUCU